GCGGCGGCCAUGGCCCAGGUGAGACGCCCGGUCCCAUUCCGAACCCGGAAGCUAAGGCCUGGCACGGCGAUGGUACUGCACCCGACAGGGUGUGGGAGAGUAGCACGCCGCCGCAC
rnacentral:rRNA from 1 species